GUUCCUUCGGGGACAUCCGAUAAAAUUGGAACGAAACAGAGGGAUGACACGCACAAAUCGAGAAAUGGUCUAAAUUUUU
rfam:Nicotiana attenuata strain TT chromosome 11, whole genome shotgun sequence.